rnacentral:rRNA from 1 species
UACGUAGGUGGCGAGCGUUAUCCGGAUUUAUUGGGCGUAAAGCGUGCGCAGGCGGUUUGUUAAGUCUAAAAUGAAAGCCCGAAGCUCAACUUCGGUUUGUUUUAGAAACUGACUUACUCGAGUAUGGUAGAGGCAAGUGGAAUUUCUAGUGUAGCGGUAGAAUGCGUAGAUAUUAGAAGGAACACCAGUGGCGAAAGCGACUUGCUAGGCCAUCACUGACGCUCAUGCACGAAAGCGUGGGGAGCAAAUAGGAUUAGAUACCCUAGUAGUCCACGCUGUAAACGAUGAUCACUAAGUGUCGGGUUACCGGUGCUGAAGUUAACACAUUAAGUGAUCCGCCUGAGUAGUACGGUCGCAAGGCUGAAACUCAAAGGAAUUGGCGGGCACCCGCACAAGCGGUGGAGCAUGCUGUUUAAUUCGAAAGUACGCGAAGAACCUUACCAAGAUUUGACAUCCCCGGCGAGGCUAUAGAAAUACAGCUGAGGUUAUCCGGGAGACAGGUGGUGCAUGGUUGUCGUCAGCUCGUGUCGUGAGAUGUUUGGUUAAGUCCAACAACGAGCGCAACCCUCUUCUUUAGUUGCUAACAUUUAGUUGAGAACCCUAAAGAUACUGCCGGUGUAAACCGGAGGAAGGUGAGGAUGACGUCAAAUCAUCAUGCCCCUUACAUCUUGGGCUACAGGCGUGCUACAAUGGCCAGUACAACGAGUCGCGACAUGGUAACAUGAAGCAAAUCUCUUAAAGCUGGUCCCAGUACGGAUUGAGGUCUGCAACUCGACCUCAUGAAGUUGGAAUCGCUAGUAAUCCCGAAUCAGAAUGUCGGGGUGAAUACGUUCCCGGGUGU